AGCGAACGCUGGCGGCAGGCCUAACACAUGCAAGUCGAACGAACUCUUCGGAGUUAGUGGCGGACGGGUGAGUAACACGUGGGAACGUGCCUUUAGGUUCGGAAUAACUCAGGGAAACUUGUGCUAAUACCGCAUGUGCCCUUCGGGGGAAAGAUUUCUCGCCUUUAGAGCGGCCCGCGUCUGAUUAGCUAGUUGGAGGUGUAAUGGACCCCCAAGGCGACGAUCAGUAGCUGGUCUUAGAGGAUGACCAGCCACAUUGGGACUGAGACACGGCCCAAACUCCUACAGGAGGCAGCAGUGGGGAAUCUUGCGCAAUGGGCGAAAGCCUGACGCAGCCAUGCCGCGUGGAUGAUGAAGGUCUUAGGAUUGUAAAAUCCUUUCACCGGUGAAGAUAAUGACUGUAGCCGGAGAAGAAGCCCCGGCUAACUUCGUGCCAGCCGCCGCGGUAACAC
rnacentral:rRNA from 1 species